rnacentral:lncRNA from 1 species
GUACAUUCUACAAAAAGAGUGUUUCAAAACUGCUCUAUCCAAAGAAAGGUUCAACACUAUGAGUUGAAUGCACACAUCACAAAGAGGAUUCUGAGAAUGCUUCUGUCUAGUUUUUAUGUGAAGAUAUACCGUUUCCAAUGAAGGCCUCAAAGCGGUCCAAAUAUCCACUUGCAAAUUCUACAAAAAGAGUGUUUCAAAACUGCCCUAUGAAAAGAAAUGUUCAACACUGUGAAUUGAAUGCACACAUCACAAAGAAGUUUCUGAGAAUACUU